AUACGUAGGUGACAAGCGUUAUCCGGAUUUACUGGGUGUAAAGGGCGUGUAGGCGGUUUAGCAAGUCAGAAGUGAAAUUCCCGGGCUUAACUUGGGCGCUGCUUCUGAAACUGCUUUACUUGAGUGCUGGAGAGGAUAGUGGAAUUCCUAGUGUAGCGGUAAAAUGCGCAGAUAUUAGGAGGAACACCGGUGGCGAAGGCGGCAAUCUGACCAGGAACCGACGCUGAGACGCGAAAGCAGGGGGAGCAAGCAGGAUAGGAUACCCUGGUAGUCCACGCCGUAACCGGUGAAUACUACGUGUUGGGGGUAUCGACUCCCGCUGUGCCGCAACGAACACAAUAAGUAGUCCGCCUGGGGAGUACGGCCGCAAGGUUGAAUCUCAAAAGAAUUGACGGGG
rnacentral:rRNA from 1 species